UACGGGGGGGGCAAGCGUUGUUCGGAAUUACUGGGCGUAAAGGGCGCGUAGGCGGUCUACUAAGUCAGACGUGAAAUCCCUCGGCUUAACCGGGGAACUGCCUCUGAUACUGGAUGGCUUGAGAUUGGGAGAGGGAUGCGGAAUUCCAGGUGUAGCGGUGAAAUGCGUAGAUAUGUGGAGGAACACCGAUGGCGAAGGCAGCCCCCUGGGUCAAGAUUGACGCUCAUGCACGAAAGCGUGGGGAGCAAACAGG
rnacentral:rRNA from 1 species